rnacentral:ncRNA from 1 species
UUAAUUAGUGGAGCUUGGUAUGGAAACCUACCAAGUGAUAACUUUCAAAUUCAGAGAAACCCUGGAAUUAAAAACGGGCAAUCCUGAGCCAAAUCCUGUUUUCUGAAAACAAACAAAGGUUCAGAAAGCGAUAAAAAAAAAAAAAAGGAUAAAUGGGGAUGGGUGCAAAAACUCCAUGGAAGUUGUUCUAACAAAUGGAGUUGGCGGCGAUGCUUUAGUAAAGGACUCCUUCCAUCGAAACUCCCAAAAGGAUGAAAAAUAACCCUAUAUAUACUUUCUGAAAUAAUAUCUCCAACCCCAAUCAUUAUUGACACCCCAAUCCUUUUUUUUUUUUUUUAUAUAAAAAAAGAAAGAAUUGUUGUGAAUCGAUUCCGAGUUGAAAGAAGAAUCGAAUAAUCAUUGAUCAAAUCAUUUAAUCCAUCGUAAUCUGAUNGAUCUUUUGAAGAAUUGAUUAAUCGGACGAGUAAUAAAGAUAGAGUCCCAUUUUACAUGUUAAUAUCGACAACAAUGAUAUUUAUAGUAAGAGGAAAAUCCGUCGACUUUAUAAAUCGUGAGGGUUCAAGUCCCUCUAUCCCCA